AUAAAUAAAAUUAUAUAUCUCACACUCCCUAAACAUACUUGCACUAACAGAAACAUGGCUCUCUCCCUCUGAUACUGCUACACCUGCCUCACUGUCUUUUGGUGGUCUUCACUUUACCCACAACCCAAGACAAGCAGAGAUUAAAGGUGGCGGUGUAGGUUUUCUUCUCUCACCCCACUGCACCUUUAAAACCCUGUCUACCC